rnacentral:rRNA from 1 species
UACGUAGGGUCCGAGCGUUGUCCGGAAUUACUGGGCGUAAAGAGCUCGUAGGUGGUUUGUCGCGUUGUUCGUGAAAACUCACAGCUUAACUGUGGGCGUGCGGGCGAUACGGGCAGACUGGAGUACUGCAGGGGAGACUGGAAUUCCUGGUGUAGCGGUGGAAUGCGCAGAUAUCAGGAGGAACACCGGUGGCGAAGGCGGGUCUCUGGGCAGUAACUGACGCUGGAGGAGCGGAAAAGCGUGGGGGAGCGAAACAGG